GAUGAACGCUGGCGGCGUGCCUAAUACAUGCAAGUCGAGCGAACAGACGAGGAGCUUGCUCCUCUGACGUUAGCGGCGGACGGGUGAGUAACACGUGGAUAACCUACCUAUAAGACUGGGAUAACUUCGGGAAACCGGAGCUAAUACCGGAUAAUAUAUUGAACCGCAUGGUUCAAUAGUGAAAGACGGUUUUGCUGUCACUUAUAGAUGGAUCCGCGCCGCAUUAGCUAGUUGGUAAGGUAACGGCUUACCAAGGCAACGAUGCGUAGCCGACCUGAGGGGGGGACGCGCCACAAGGAAACGGACAACGGUCCCAACCCCCAAGGGGGGGCGAGAGAGGGGAUUUGUCCGAAAGGGGCGAAACCCUGAGGGAGCAACCCCGGGGGGGUGAUGAAGGUCUUCGGUUCGAAAAACUUUUUUUUGGGGAAAAAAAAAAUGUGGAAGUAACUAUGCCGGUCUGGAGGGAACCAAAGAAAAAAGCCACGCCAAACUCGGG
rnacentral:rRNA from 1 species